UUGAAAGGGAAACGAUUGAAGUCAGUCGUACCAACGGGAAAUCAUCCUCUUGAGCUCGGUAAAGUGGGUUUUGAAGAGUUNCAAACACUUCGGAUUCGCGGGAUUGGGAUCUCCUGGCGUUCUAUUUUGUACGUUUCAUCAACAUCUGUUUUGAAUCUCAUAAAACGAUNGGAGGAACGUAGCUUCGAUCUCGUAAAGAAGUGUUAUAGCCUUCGGUAGAUGUGAUGUUUGAGACCGAGGAUUGCAACGGACGAAAACAGGGCUAAAAGUCNGNNNNNUAUUGCAUACAAUGAAUNUUGAAAGCUCNCNCAAANNUUAAUUCGAAACGCUCAAAAGGUGAGAGUACGACUGACUCGUUAAGGAUGUUGACGUA
rnacentral:rRNA from 1 species